rnacentral:rRNA from 1 species
GACGAACGCUGGCGGCGUGCUUAACACAUGCAAGUCGAACGGAAAGGCCCUGCUUUUGUGGGGUGCUCGAGUGGCGAACGGGUGAGUAACACGUGAGUAACCUGCCCUUGACUUUGGGAUAACUUCAGGAAACUGGGGCUAAUACCGGAUAGGAGCUCCUGCUGCAUGGGGGGGGUUGGAAAGUUUCGGCGGUUGGGGAUGGACUCGCGGUUUAUCAGCUUGUUGGUGGGGUAGUGGCUUACCAAGGCUUUGACGGGUAGCCGGCCUGAGAGGGUGACCGGCCACAUUGGGACUGAGAUACGGCCCAGACUCCUACGGGAGGCAGAAGUGGGGAAUAGUGCACAAUGGGCGGAAGCCUGAUGCAGCAACGCCGCGUGCGGGAUGACGGCCUUCGGGUUGUAAACCGCUUUCGCCUGUGACGAAGCGUGAGUGACGGUAAUGGGUAAAGAAGCACCGGCUAACUACGUG